rnacentral:rRNA from 1 species
CCCUUAGAUGUUCUGGGCCGCACGCGUGCUACACUGAGUGGAUCAGCGGGUCAGGUUGCGCGAAAGUGUUUCCUAAUCUUGAAAUCCGCUCGUGAUGGGGAUUGACGGUUGCAAUUUUCCGUCAUGAACGAGGAAUACCUUGUAAGCGCGGGUCAUCAUCCCGCGCUGAAUACGUCCCUGCCCUCUGUACACACCGCCCGUCGCUCCUACCGAUUGAGUGGUCCGGUGAGGCUUUGGGAUCUGAGCGGAAAGAGCGUUUCGCUGUUUCUGCUCGGAAAACUCAGUCGAACCUUAUCAUUUAGAGGAAGGAGAAGUCGUAACA